CAAGUAGGCGGCAUGAUAAGUGAGGGGUGAAAUCUUCCGACUCAAUCGGAAAACUGCCUUUCAAACUGUCAAGCUUGAGGCACUAAGGGGGAAAUGGAAUUCUAGGUGUAAGGGUGAAAUCUGUAGAUAUCUAGAAGAACACCAGCGGCGAAGGCGAUUUCCUGGUAGUGUCCUGACGCUAAAUUGCGAAAGCUAGGGGAGCAAACAGGAUUAGAUACCCUGGAAGUCC
rnacentral:rRNA from 1 species